rnacentral:rRNA from 1 species
AACAAACGCUGGCGGCGUGCCUAAUACAUGCAAGUCGUACGAGGUAGCAAUACCUAGUGGCGCACGGGUGAGUAACGCGUGGAUAAUCUGCCUUUGAGUGGGGGAUAACUAGUCGAAAGAUUAGCUAAUACCGCAUAAGACCACAGGAACUGAGGUUCUAGGGGUUAAAGGUUUUUCGCUCAUAGAUGAGUCCGCGCGAGAUUAGCUAGUUGGUGAGGUAACGGCUCACCAAGGCGACGAUCUCUAACUGGUCUGAGAGGAUGAUCAGUCACACUGGAACUGAGACACGGUCCAGACUCCUACGGGAGGCAGCAGUAGGGAAUAUUGCACAAUGGAGGAAACUCUGAUGCAGCGACGCCGCGUGAGUGAUGAAGGCUUUCGGGUCGUAAAGCUCUGUCGCAGGGGAAUAACACAAUGAAUGUACCCUGUAAGAAAGGACCGGCUAACUUCGUGCCAGCAGCCGCGGUAA